AACGAACGCUGGCGGCAUGCCUAACACAUGCAAGUCGAACGAGACCUUCGGGUCUAGUGGCGCACGGGUGCGUAACGCGUGGGAAUCUGCCCUUGGGUUCGGAAUAAACUCAGAGAAAUUUGAGCUAAUACCGGAUGAUGACGUAAGUCCAAAGAUUUAUCGCCCAAGGAUGAGCCCGCGUAAGAUUAGCUUGUUGGUAGGGUAAUGGCCUACCAAGGCGACGAUCUUUAGCUGGUCUGAGAGGAUGAUCAGCCACACUGGGACUGAGACACGGCCCAGACUCCUACGGGAGGCAGCAGUGGGGAAUAUUGGACAAUGGGCGAAAGCCUGAUCCAGCAAUGCCGCGUGAGUGAUGAAGGCCUUAGGGUUGUAAAGCUCUUUUACCAGGGAUGAUAAUGACAGUACCUGGAGAAUAAGCUCCGGCUAACUCCGUG
rnacentral:rRNA from 1 species